GUUCGAAUAGUGUAGUGGUUAUCACGCGUAAGUUUUGGCCGCUUUUCUCGCCUACCAUCAAAAAUUCUAAUUCCCUGUAAAGAUCGUUCACAGCUGUGAGCACAAAUCCGAUGAGGUCCCAGGUUCGAAACCUGGUUCGAACA